rnacentral:misc_RNA from 1 species
AUGCAAUAUAUCAUACUAUGUUAUUUUUCUGUUAUUUUAUUGCUUAAACAUCAAGCAAUUAGAAUUUUUGUCACGAUCGGGAGUGGUGCGCGCAAUGAAUCCUCUGUAUUCGGACCCCCGCCCCGCCGUGGUCCCGCAACCGGACUUGUACGGUCGCUAUCACUGGUCUCAAUUAACACCGUCCCCACCAGCAACUGACUCUGUGGAGCCCACUGUGACACCAGAAUUGACUACACAAAAUGAAAAUGCCGGUCAGUUUUCCAAUACGGUUGAAAAAUCAAGAAAACCACGCAAGAAAUGCACCAAACGCAAAGUGUUGAACGAUUUCGUCUCUAUUCAAUUGUGCACCACAUGUUUGAAACGUGCCAAUUUUAAUUCACCAUUGUUAAGUUUAACCUUGUGCGAACCUUGCAUUUUUCGUAAUUUCAAAUGAUUUUCCAAUAAAAUUGUUGUAUUGAAUUUUGUUUAAUAGACACUUUUCUCGAACCGUUGUUGGCGCCUAACAAUAACCGAUUUGUUGUCCACCCGAUUGUUCACCGCGAUAUUUGGGAAUUUUACAAAAAGGCCGUUGCCUGUUUCUGGACUAGCGAGGAAGUUGAUUUGGGAAAGGAUAUGAGCCAUUGGGAAAUAUUGACUAGUGAUGAGAGACAGUUUAUUUCGUCUAUUUUGGCAUUUUUUGCCGCUUCUGAUGGGAUCGUUACUGAAAAUUUGUGCUCCCGUUUCUCGACCGAAGUUCAAGUCACAGAGGCCCGAUUUUUUUAUGGAUUCCAGAUCGCAGUCGAGAACAUCCAUAGCGAGAUGUAUGCAAAAUUGUUGGAGGCUUAUAUUAGAGACGACGCCGAGCGCAAUAUUUUAUUCAACGCAAUAACAACUUUUAAAUUUAUCAAGGCAAAAGCCGAUUGGUGUCUUCGAUGGAUUUCUGAUCACAAUGCCCCGUUUUCCGAGCGCUUGGCCGCCGUUGCUGCUGUUGAAGGAAUAUUUUUCAGUUCUUCGUUUGCUGCAAUUUUUUGGCUGAAAAAGCGCGGUUUGCUCCCCGGGCUGACUCAUUCAAACGAGCUGAUCUCAAGAGACGAAGGUUUGCACAGAGAUUUUGCGUGUCUUCUGUUCUCUAAACUUAUCAGGAAACCCGCAGAGUCGCGCAUCACAGAAAUUAUCAACGAGUCCGUGUUGGUUGAACAAGAUUUUGUUCGAGAAUCCCUGCCCACAAACUUGAUUGGAAUGAAUCAGCACAUGAUGUGUAAAUAUGUUGAAUUUGUCGCUGAUCUUCUGCUUGAAGAGUUGGGUUACUCCAAACGCUACAACACAAAAAACCUGUUUGAUUUUAUGGAAAACAUAUCAAUAGAGGGAAAGACAAACUUUUUCUAA